rnacentral:misc_RNA from 1 species
GAUGAAGAACGCAGCGAAAUGCGAUAAGUAAUGUGAAUUGCAGAAUUCAGUGAAUCAUCGAAUCUUUGAACGCACAUUGCGCCCGCCAGUAUUCUGGCGGGCAUGCCUGUUCGAGCGUCAUUACAACCCUCAGGCCCCCGGGCCUGGCGUUGGGGAUCGGCGGAAGCCCCCUGCGGGCACAACGCCGUCCCCCAAAUACAGUGGCGGUCCCGCCGCAGCUUCCAUUGCGUAGUAGCUAACACCUCGCAACUGGAGAGCGGCGCGGCCACGCCGUAAAACACCCAACUUCUGAAAGUUGACCUCGAAUCAGGUAGGAAUACCCGCUGAACUUAAGCAUAUCAAUAAGCGGAGGA